GGACGCUUCCUCUUCCCCACUCCCCUUUCUCUUUUUCCUCUUCCUCUUCCCCUCUCCACAAUGCGACGGUGCCGCCAAAUUGAUGCACCUUCGGCGGUGCGACGGUGACAUGCAUCUGUUCAGAUCAACAUCGGCGAUGAUGGCGACGGGAAGGGGUGCUGAAGCAGCUUUUCUCUUGAGGUAGUGAACCACGAGCUCUUCAUCGGUGGGGUGGAGCCGAAACCCUGGAGGAAGGUGUGGGUGGUGCUGUGCUAUCCAUGAUCAAAAACCACUACUUUGUGCUCAAUUUUCUAUGUACGUCUCGUGCAUCAUUUUAGUACAAACUGUUUUUUUCAUUAGAGCCUUUUCUUACUUUAUCUUCUGCUUUUUCCCUUCCUUUGCUCUUAACUUUCGUACGUUUUCGUGAUAUUUGGAGAAAAAGUAGCGGCUAGUGAUAUGGGACUUUGGAUUAAUUAGUGGGAUCAAUAUUGUAUGUGUAUGCAACUAUACAAUAAAUGUGCCUAAUGGAUGAGGAUGGUUUUUGUGACACAUGGGGUAGGGACCACACAACGAUAAUGAGGAUGAUGAGGCUGGUUUUGUGGGAAUGAAUAAUAAUAAGGGUUUGGGGAGUUUAGAAAUGGAAUGCUUUUGAUGUCAUGUUUUCUUAUGCAAACAAGCAACCAUAUCAGUUCAGUUUCA